CCGGAUUUACUCACAUAGUUCUACAAUCUUCUUCAAGCUUCUGUUGUCUCCUUCCUGCAAGUUAGCAAGUACUCGAGGCACUUCAGAAGACUAGUGAAAGGCAAACGGCAGAACCUAAGCUUGAAGAAAUGAACCAACCUGUUCAAGGGGACAGCUCCAGCACCCCUGCUAACCUUCCUUUGAAGCGAAGAAGGGGUCGCCCUCGUAAGGAUCCUAGCUUGAAGCGUGUUGUUCGUGCUCAGGUUCCUCCACCUUUUGAAUUAGUGCAAGAGAUCCAACAAGUAAACAGAAAUGAUGGUAUGAUUGGUCAGGCUGUAACAGGUGUUGUUGAGUCUGCAUUUGAUGCUGGUUAUUUGCUCAAUGUUAGAAUUGGUGACUCCAAUACGAACUACAGGGGUGUAGUUUUUAAGCCAGGACAUUAUAUUCCUGUCACAGCUGCAAAUGAUGUCGCCCCACAUCUUGAGAUGCUCAGAAGAAAUGAGGUUCGUCCUCCGGCUGUAAACCAGCUUCAGGCGUAUGGCCCUAGGGCUGAGCGCAAUGGAUCAGUUAAGCUUGGAUCUAGGUCCUCAAAAAGCAAACAGGUAAUAAUGCAUCCCUCAGUCCCUCCAGUGGGUGUCAGAGGCACAGUAGUUCCUGUUGUGCUACAACCUGUCAAUUUAACAAAUGGACUAGCAUCUAGUCAAAGCUCUGCAUCCCAAGCUUCAAACAGGGAGUCUAUAAGGGAGAAAGAUGUUCAGAUGGUUAAGCCAUUGGCUAUGCUGCCACCUGAUGGACCAGUAACCCCUGGACAGCUACCACCAGAACCAACUCGUGAAAUACUUGCUUCACAAGCUCAAGUUGGCAACAAAGUAGCAAUAGGUACUGGGCAGAAUGAAGGCUAUCUUAGCAAGGGAGGAGAAGCUGUCAAAGAGGAAAAGGCGCAGCCAGCUGCAUCAACCAACAUAGCAAUACCUGUUGCAGUGGCCUACGUGUCUCAAGGAUCUGGGCUGGCAAAAGAAGAUACUGGAAACAAUGAGGCCUCUAACAAGUUGCCAGCUGAACAUUCACCUGUGAUACCCAAACUAGAUACUGUGAAUCAGGUUCCCUCAGCAAAACCAAGUGAACCAGCAAUCCCCACUCUUCCUACCCAGGCUACAUCUGUUCCUAAGCUGCUGAUGAACUAUGGUACUGGCAGGAUGACCGAACUUCUACAGGCUGUGCAGGAAAAUCUGAAGGAGAACCAGCUGCUUCGUACUGGAGAAUCAGGACUUGGUGUGAUGAAGACUCCAGCAACUGAUGGCAGUAUGGAGG
rnacentral:misc_RNA from 1 species